rnacentral:rRNA from 1 species
CAAUAAGCGGAGGAAAAGAAACCAACAGGGAUUGCCCUAGUAACGGCGAGUGAAGCGGCAACAGCUCAAAUUUGAAAUCUGGUCCCCUUGCGGGGCCCGAGUUGUAAUUUGCAGAGGAUGCUUUUGGCGAGGUGCCUUCCGAGUUCCCUGGAACGGGACGCCACAGAGGGUGAGAGCCCCGUAUGGUUGGACGCCGAGCCUAUGUAAAGCUCCUUCGACGAGUCGAGUAGUUUGGGAAUGCUGCUCAAAAUGGGAGGUAAACCCCUUCUAAAGCUAAAUACUGGCCAGAGACCGAUAGCGCACAAGUAGAGUGAUCGAAAGAUGAAAAGCACUUUGAAAAGAGAGUUAAAAAGCACGUGAAAUUGUUGAAAGGGAAGCGUUUGCGACCAGACUUGCGCCCGUCGAAUCAACCGUCCCUCGUGGGCGGCGCACUUCGGCGGGCUCAGGCCAGCAUCAGUUCGCUGUAGGGGGAGAAAAGCGGUGGGAAUGUGGCUCUUCGGAGUGUUAUAGCCCGCCGCAUAAUACCCCUCGGCGGACUGAGGACCGCGCUUUUGCAAGGAUGCUGGCGUAAUGG